GUAAACUUACUUAUAAUUACAAUUCUGACUGACUGCCAUUCAGUACUCAAGAUAAAUAUGAUACUUCCAGACAUCCCUUCAUGAGUUUGUCCAAUAAUGCUAUAACUAACCCACAAUAUUGUACAUGCUAUACAUGGAGCCAACAUCCCACUCAAUUCAAGUGAGCUUUAGAAAAUCAAUAUUUUCAAUAACAGAAACAUACAAAAUUAGAGAAAAGCCUUUAUUGUUUCAUCUACAAUAUAAAGUCAAGCGUAGAUAUCCAUCAAGGUUUGAGCCCAGGACCUGGAAAGAACACAGAAUGAGGAACAGAAUUUCAAAUAAAACAAUACCUACAUGGCACAGGAGGUCAACUGGGCAAACCAAUCCUUUUCUGUAGAGAAAAAAAGGCAUUAGAAUUUAAACACUCACUUCACAACAAAGCGCUCUCAAAGUCACUCUUUGACAUCCACAGUUUGGUCAGCCUGGGCUUCAUGUCCAGGAAAACUGGGGUCAUAAGCAACCGGAUCAGCAGCAUCAGUUGGAAGGAAGUCCAGUGGGAUGUAGGUGGUUUGGGAAAAGACCAUUUUUCCAAGCACGUAACGAUUGAAGGAUUUAACCACGUAGCGCGUUUGAAAACCUGAUGGCUCUGUGAUCACAAGGAAGCGCUCUUGCCCUGAUGAGGGACCCUCAGCAUCACCACGAGUGGUUUCUGCACCGACAUCCAUGGAGGAGCUGCCAAGACUACCCUUAAUAGGGUUUGAUGCAGUCAUUUGAGGAAGCGGCAUCUGGGCAUGCACCUUGGGCAUCUGGUUCACUGGGGCUGGGGGCAUCUUGGCCCAUAUUGGGGGCACAUGGGCCUGCACCUUGGGCAUCUGGGCUGGGGGCAUCUUGGCCCAUCCUGGGGGCAUCUGGGCUGCCUGGUUCACUGGGGCUGGGGGCAACUUGGCCCAUGCUGGGGGCAUCUGGGACUGCACCUGGGGCAUCUGGGCUGCCUGGCUCACUGGAGCUGGUGGCAUCUUGGCCCAUGCUGGGGGCAUCUGGGCCUGGGGCAUCUUAGCUGCCUUGCUCACUUGGGCUGGGGGCAUCUUGGCCCAUGCUGGGGGCAUCUGGGCCUGCACCUUGGGCAUCUGGGCUGCCUGGUUCACUGGGGCCGGGGGCAUCUUGGCCCAUCCUGGGGGCAUCUUGGCUGCCUGGUUCACUGGGGCUGGUGGCAUCUUGGCCCAUCCUGGGGGCAUCUGGGCCUGUGCCAUCUUGGCUGCCUGGCUUACAGACUGCUGACCCUGGCUCUCCUGAGUAGGGGUAUGGUGAGUCCACACUGGGUUUGUCUGGAUUUUAGACAUGCCAUCUUGGCUCACCUGGGUAGAGGGCAUCCAUACCUGGCUUGAUGGCAUCAGCCUCUGGCUUGUUGGAGCAUGAAGAACCUCUGCU
rnacentral:lncRNA from 1 species